AGGGGCAAAUUAAAGAAAGAAAGUAAAUGAGAUAAGGCGCAAUCGAAUGCGCAUGCACAAGGGGAGUGCUUGCUACGCAAAUUUCCCAUUUCAAGAAGGAAGGCAUGUAUCUGACCCAAUAAAUGGCGCCGUUUUUUUUGCAAAGGUUUUAAUGCCCUGUUUCUUUUCUUUUCUUUUUAGAAGCCGUGCUUUUAACCCAAAUUAACAGCCCCCACAAAUCUAUUUGCUAGGGUUUCUUUCGCCAGCAACCGAACCACCAUAGUAUUUGGUGAUCAACAGCAUGCAAACAGUACCCGAUCCUGCCAUUGAAGGCACGGUGCUGGCUGCGUGGCUGUUGAAGACUGGAACGUACGGAGGCGCUGGGGGGGCUCGGUUGCGGCGCAAAGCGAGGGAGAGCCCUAGGGUUUCUGGAGUUGUAAUUUGGUCUUGGGCUAUUUGGGCUCGAUUUGUUUUGUUUGGGUAUUGGGUUACGGGUUUGCUUAGGUUUAGGGUUUAGUUAAUUAUUAGGCUAUUGUAAUAUUUGGACUCUUGUGGACUGUUGGUUUAAUGAUUUAUUAUUUAUUUUGUAUUUAUUUUGGGUUUCUAGUGGGCCCGGACGAAUUUGGCCCAUUACAUGUACGAAAACAAUUGUCUCUCUUUUCUACGCGCAACUUACUUUCUUUGGA